AUGGUAGAUUUUGAUCAAGAAAUUGGCGAGAAACUCAUCUUCAUCCCUUCCAAAUCUCCUACUUUACCAUUAUUUUUGUUGCAUCAUCAACUCAAUGAAAACACUACAACCGUUAUCUCCUAUCUUGCUUUAUUUUCAACAUCGCUGAAGCUAACUCAAGGGAAACAUUUGAGAAAGGUACUUUUGAGAUCAUCAUGGAUGAGAGUCAAUUCGAUGGAAAGUAAGGCAAAGGAUGAUUCUCAUAUUUUUUUCAUGACAAUGUACCGUCGCCGCGAAUUCACUAUUAAUUUCCAUUUGUAA
rnacentral:lncRNA from 1 species